AUUGAACGCUAGCGGGAGGCUUUACACAUGCAAGUCGAACGAGUGGCGGACGGGUGAGUAAUAUAUGGGAAUGUGCCCAGUAGCGGGGGAUAACUACUCGAAAGAGGGCUAAUACCGCAUACUAUCGGAGCAGCCCAUAUGGGAUUAGCUAGUUGGUGGGGUCAAGGCUCACCAAGGCAACGAUCUGUAGCUGGUCUGAGAGGAUGACCAGCCACACUGUGACUGAGACACGGCCGAGACUCCGGAGGGAGGAAGCAGUAGGGAAUAUUAGGCAAUGGGGGAAAGCCUGAUCCAGCCAUGCCGCGUGUGUGAUGAAGGCCUUCGGAUUGUAAAGUACUUAUAACAGGGAAGCGGUAUCUGCACAGUAAGCACCGGCUAACUACGUGCCAGAAGCCGCGGUGAUAA
rnacentral:rRNA from 1 species